UACGGAGGGUGCGAGCGUUGUCCGGAAUCACUGGGCGUAAAGGGCGCGUAGGCGGCUGUGACAGUCAGAUGUGAAAUUCCUGGGCUCAACCUGGGGGCUGCAUUUGAUACGUGAUGGCUGGAGUGGGGAAGAGGGUCGUGGAAUUCCUAGUGUAGAGGUGAAAUGCGCAGAUAUCAGGAGGAACACCGGUGGCGAAGGCGGGUCUCUGGGCCGAUAUUGACGCUGAGGAGCGAAAGCGUGGGGAGCGAACAGG
rnacentral:rRNA from 1 species